rnacentral:lncRNA from 1 species
UCCAUUCUACGCGGAGAGUCAGGACUGAUUGGUUUUCGAGAACUAAUAUUCAAUAUAGUUUUUGUACCUAAAAUAAUAUGUUGAAGUGUAAACGGAAGAAAUCAGAUCAUCAGAGGAUAAUAUUAUUAAACACCCAAGAUACAACCAGUACAAGACAAAGCCCAAACACACACAUGCUCAUCUUCUCAGGGAAGCAUUCACAAGCAGCAGAUUCAAGAUUCAAGAACCACCCUCCGCAAAG